rnacentral:rRNA from 1 species
UACGGAGGGUGCAAGCGUUGUCCGGAUUUAUUGGGUUUAAAGGGUGCGUAGGCGGCUUAUUAAGUCAGUGUUUAAAGUCAUUAGCUUAACUAAUGGAAUGGCAUUGAUACUGAUGAGCUUGAGUAAAGUUGAGGUAGGCGGAAUUGAAGGUGUAGCGGUGAAAUGCAUAGAUAUCUUCAAGAACACCAAUUGCGAAGGCAGCUUACUAAGCUUUAACUGACGCUGAUGCACGAAAGCGUGGGGAUCAAACAGG